GAAGGCACGACAUUGCUCACAUUGCUUCCAAUUUUUAGCCAGCAUCGGGUGCUGGCUUUUUUUU
rnacentral:antisense_RNA from 1 species